rnacentral:rRNA from 1 species
CCCUUAGAUGUUCUGGGCCGCACGCGCGCUACACUGAUGCAUUCAACGAGCCUAUCCUUGACCGACAGGUCCGGGUAAUCUUUGAAUCUGCAUCGUGACGGGGAUAGAUUAUUGCAAUUAUUAAUCUUCAACGAGGAAUUCCUAGUAGACGUAGUUCAUCAGACUGCAUCGAUUACGUCCCUGCCCUUUGUACACACCGCCCGUCGCUCCUACCGAUUGAAUGCUCAGGUGAGCCAUUCGGACCUUCAUCAUGCCGGUUUCCGGUUUUGAUGAGGGAAAGUCUUGCGAACCUUAUCAUUUAGAGGAAGGAGAAGUCGUAACA